AUGAAUGGUGUUUUGACAAAAGGUGGAAAGAAAUAUUUCAUGAUGUUAAUUGAUGACUCCACUAGAUACUUCCGUGUGUAUCUUCUGAAAUAUAAGGAUGAGGCUUUGAACUUUUUCAAGAUCUAUAAAGCUGAAGUGGAAACCCAACUUGAUCGGAAAAUCAAGAGGCUUAGGUCCGACCGUGGUGGAGAGUAUUUUUCCAAUGAAUUUGAUGCUUUUUGUGCGGAACAUGGUAUAAUCCAUGAGAGGACGCCUCCCUAUUCACCUCAGUCAAAUGGGGUGGCCGAAAGAAAGAACCGUACUCUAACUUAUUUGGUUAACGCCAUGUUAGACACAUCGGGUCUCUCCAAGGCAUGGUGGGGGGAGGCGAUAUUGACGGCAUGUCAUGUCCUAAACCGAGUUCCCGCAAAGAACAAAGAGAUAACUCCAUUCGAGGAAUGGGAGAAGAAAAGGUUAAAACUCUCUUAUCUACGAACAUGGGGUUGUUUGGCGAAAGUCAAUGUUCCAAUUCCAAAGAAUCGGAAGCUUGGACCAAAGACUGUGGAUUGUGUUUUCCUGGGAUAUGCUUUUCAUAGCAUUGGCUAUAGAUUCUUGGUGGUAAAAUCUGAGGUACCUGACAUGCAUGUCGGUACGAUCAUGGAGUCGAAUGAUGCGACUUUCUUUGAAUAUAUCUUUCCCAUGAAGGAUAUGGCUACCUCAUCUAAUCAGGAGAUGCCUAGUUAA
rnacentral:rRNA from 1 species